AUCUUCCUCACACCCAAGGCUAUUGGGUGUCCAUCCUUUACUGAUUUCUAGUGCUUGGUAGUAGCACAAAGUAAGGGAGAAAGACAAGAGAAGAAGAGAAGAAGAUCAAGGAAAGAGAUCAAGUGUUGAUCGCGAUCCAGGCUUCGUUCAGAUUUAGCAGGCUAAAUUUUCUUAGAAAAAAAAUUUUAAUUUGAAGAGGAC
rnacentral:lncRNA from 1 species